CCUCGCCUCUCUCCCGGCUGAGUGCAGCCACACAUGACGCCAGCCCCCCAGCCCGCCACGCGCUACUUCCCGGCCGGCCCUCCGCCCCCCCCCACCCCCCCCGGCCCCGUUCCCUAGAAAUGCAGCCGAGGCGCGGGGAAGAGGGGACGCGGUUUUGGCGGGGGGGGAAGAGAUUCUUUUUGUUCUGUUGGGGGACAGCUUUGGUUUGUUGUUUUCCAGUUUCUUUUUUUCUUCCCCCCCCCUCCCCCUUGCACACAAAAUAAGUGAAGAAGAUGUGGCAAGGUGUGGCCGCGCCGUCGGGGCCGAGGAAUCUCUGGCACCGCGGGAGCAGCAGCCCACACCAGGAACGUGGAGCAGCCUCUGCUUCGGACAGGAGGACGUCCGUCCCAGGAGAAAGAGCAUCAGUUCUCAG
ensembl:lncRNA